CCUACGGGUGGCAGCAGGGAGGAAUAUUGGUCAAUGGACGAGAGUCUGAACCAGCCAAGUAGCGUGAAGGAUGACUGCCCUAUGGGUUGUAAACUUCUUUUAUAUGGGAAUAAAACAGGGUAUGCAUACCCUCUUGUAUGUACCAUAUGAAUAAGGAUCGGCUAACUCCGUGCCAGCAGCCGCGGUAAUACGGAGGAUCCGAGCGUUAUCCGGAUUUAUUGGGGUUAAAGGGAGCGUAGGUGGAUUGUUAAGUCAGUUGUGAAAGUUUGCGGCUCAACCGUAAAAUUGCAGUUGAAACUGGCAGUCUUGCGUACCGUAGCGGUGGGCGGACUUCGUGGUGUAGCGGUGAAAUGCUUCGAUCUCACGCAGAACUCCGAUUGCGAAGGCAGCUCCCUGGACUGCAACUGACACUGCUGCUCGAAAGUGUGGGUAUCAAACAGGAUUAGAUCCCCUUGUAGUC
rnacentral:rRNA from 1 species